rnacentral:misc_RNA from 1 species
UCCGAGUUGACCCCGGCAGUCUCCUAUGAGUCCCCACCAUAACGUGCUGGCAACAUAGGACGAGGGUUGCGCUCGUUGCGGGACUUAACCCAACAUCUCACGACACGAGCUGACGACAGCCAUGCACCACCUGUAUAGGACCCUUACGGACCCCCCAUCUCUGGAGGAUUUCCCUAUAUGUCAAACCCAGGUAAGGUUUUUCGCGUUGCAUCGAAUUAAUCCACAUCAUCCACCGCUUGUGCGGGUCCCCGUCAAUUCCUUUGAGUUUUAAUCUUGCGACCGUACUCCCCAGGCGGGGCGCUUAAUGCGUUAGCUACGGUACGGAAAGCUUGGAGGCUCCCCACACCUAGCGCCCAACGUUUACAGCGUGGACUAC